AACGAACGCUGGCGGCAGGCUUAACACAUGCAAGUCGAACGCAUGCCUUCGGGCAUGAGUGGCAGACGGGUGAGUAACGCGUGGGAACCUACCCCUUGGUACGGGAUAGCUCCGGGAAACUGGAGAUAAUACCGUAUGUGUCCUGAGGGACAAAGAUUCAUCGCCAAGGGAUGGGCCCGCGUCGGAUUAGCUAGUUGGUGAGGUAACGGCCUACCAAGGCGACGAUCCGUAGCUGGUCUAAGAGGAUGAUCAGCCACAUUGGGACUGAGACACGGCCCAAACUCCUACGGGAGGCAGCAGUGGGGAAUAUUGGACAAUGGGCGCAAGCCUGAUCCAGCCAUGCCGCGUGAGUGAUGAAGGCCCUAGGGUUGUAAAGCUCUUUCACCGGUGACGAUAAUGACGGUAACCGGAGAAGAAGCCCCGGCUAACUUCGUG
rnacentral:rRNA from 1 species